rnacentral:lncRNA from 1 species
UUUGCUUCUCCAUAACCAUAUAGUCUAUCAACUCUGAGCUACUCUUUAGCCAACGUAAACUUCUUACACUUUUUUAACACAAACUAUAAAAGAAUUUGUAAGAGAGACAACUUUUUUGAACUAUCAGAUGGCAAACUUUUUGUCCAAAACGUUCCGCUGUUUUUUGAAGUUCCCAACAAUGUCAAUUUUUCAACCUUUUCUUCAGUUUGACAAACACCUGAUGCUCCACUUCCUCUAAUCUAGCAUGCGCAUUCAACAUAAUUUUGGAGGAUUUUGAAGUUUGAAGUUCUUGUAAUUUUGGAAGAUUUUGAAGUUCUGAAAAAUUAUAACUAUGUAGCAAGUUGUAUCGACACCAUAUGAUAGUGUAUAUGGAUAUACAGACACCUCUUAUACACUAUUAUACAUCUUUAUAUAAAUUAU